rnacentral:lncRNA from 1 species
CAGGAAAGAACAAAUUCAAAUAUGCAAGCAAGGGCACCAUUUUCACUCAUAGUAACAUGUUGGCUUUGGUGGACCAGAAAGCUGGCAGCAAGAGACUGCUGGAGCCAUUUGCUACUAUUUCUUCCUCUCUAAUGCACCCUUCUGUCCUUUCACUGAUGACUACUGAGAGGUUUGGGGGAAAGAGAACCAAUUACAGAAUGCCAAUGCAUGUUCCAAAAUCCACUCAAGGGACUUACAUCUGGCAGAGUCUACUAUAUAUGGUGAUAAAUAUUGUUCUAGGAAAUUUUCCUGGACUCCCUGAAAACCAAGAGGAGGAGGAAGAAGAAGAAGAAGAAGAAGAAGAAGAAGAAGAAGAAGAAGAAGAAGAAGAAGAAGAAGAAGAAGAAGAAGAAGAAGAAGAAGAAGAAGAAGAAGAAGAAGAAGAACUUAGACAUCACACUAAAAGAAAUUAUCAAGAAAUCUUCCCUGAUAUUCUAGAAUCAGAAAGGAAAAUAGAAAUUGAAAGAAUGCACUGACCACUUAUUGAAAGAGAUUCCCAUAAGGUAAAAUGCAAGAAAUAUUAUAGCCAAAUUCCAGGGCUCCUAGAGCAAAGAAGAAAUAUUUCAAGUAGCCCAAGAGAAACAAUUCAAAAAUCAUGAAGCCACAAUCAGGAUUAUUUAGUAUUUACCAACUUCUACUUUAAAACAUCAAUGAGAUUAGGAUAAAAUAAUCCAGAAAACAAAGGAACUAUGAUUACAACCUAGAACCACCUGCCCAGUGAAACUCAAUAAAAUACUUCAAGGGGAAUAAAUGGAUAUUUGG